rnacentral:lncRNA from 1 species
UGAGGGCGCCCUUAACAUCCUGAUAAUACAAACUCUAGAUAUGACGGAAUUCCAUCGUCCCAUAUAAUCAGAGGUCUUCCCAGAAACGCGAGGGCGCUUCCGUUUGCCAGACUACCUCAUCACUUGAUCUUCGUCGUCGGACUCACUCCGACGUCAGAAGGUUUCCCGUUCUCUUCCGCGCGCGCUCUGUGCCUCCAGCCAAACAUGUAAUACACAAGCUGAGACGCAGUGUGUUUCAUUCAGUUUCGGUGCUCCUGGUAAGACAAAUGGGCGUUGUGCUUUCAUGUCAGCGAAGCUUUGAAUGGACGAACUUCACAAUUUCCCCCACCUCGAACGACGCGCGUGAGAACUUGUUUAUAUGGCAGCUGAUGGAGGAAAGGAAGUCCGGGCUCCGGUUGCAAUCGUCUUCUAAUGCGCGAUUUCCAUCGCCGGCUUCCUGACUAGAACAAGUAGAUUCGUUCUCUCCUGCCUUCUCCUCCAUGGUCGGUGUCGCCUGUUGCUCUGGGCGAUCUGGAAAACUGGGACCGGCGAUUCAGAAAGUCUCGUCGCUCGUUUCGCGCCAAAACCAACGUUUGGACACUAUCUAUAACGCGGCUGCCUGCACACCGUCAU